rnacentral:rRNA from 1 species
UGGUGAGGUAACGGCUCACCAAGGCCACGAUGCGUAGCCGACCUGGGAGGGUGAUCGGCCACAUUGGAACUGAGACACGGUCCAGACUCCUACGGGAGGCAGCAGUGGGGAAUAUUGCACAAUGGGCGGAAGCCUGAUGCAGCAACGCCGCGUGAGUGAUGAAGGCCCUCGGGUCGUAAAGCUCUUUGAUCAGGGAUGAUAAUGACAGUACCUGAAAAACAAGCCACGGCUAACUACGUGCCAGCAGCCGCGGUAAUACGUAGGUGGCGAGCGUUGUCCGGAAUUACUGGGCGUAAAGGAUGCGUAGGUGGAUAUUUAAGUGGGAUGUGAAAUCCCCGGGCUCAACCCGGGAACUGCAUUCCAAACUGGAUGUCUAGAGUGCAGGAGAGGAAAGCGGAAUUCCUAGUGUAGCGGUGAAAUGCGUAGAUAUUAGGAGGAACACCAGUGGCGAAGGCGGCUUUCUGGACUGUAACUGACACUGAGGCAUGAAAGCGUGGGUAGCAAACAGGAUUAGAU